GAUGAACGCUGGCGGCGUGCCUAAUACAUGCAAGUCGAGCGAACGGACGAGAAGCUUGCUUCUCUGAUGUUAGCGGCGGACGGGUGAGUAACACGUGGAUAACCUACCUAUAAGACUGGGAUAACUUCGGGAAACCGGAGCUAAUACCGGAUAAUAUUUUGAACCGCAUGGUUCAAAAGUGAAAGACGGUCUUGCUGUCACUUAUAGAUGGAUCCGCGCUGCAUUAGCUAGUUGGUAAGGUAACGGCUUACCAAGGCAACGAUGCAUAGCCGACCUGAGAGGGUGAUCGGCCACACUGGAACUGAGACACGGUCCAGACUCCUACGGGAGGAAGCAGUAGGGAAUCUUCCGCAAUGGGCGAAAGCCUGACGGAGCAAAGCCGCGUGAGUGAUGAAGGUCUUCGGAUCGUAAAACUCUGUUAUUAGGGAAGAACAUAUGUGUAAGUAACUGUGCACAUCUUGACGGUACCUAAUCAGAAAGCCACGGCUAACUACGUG
rnacentral:rRNA from 1 species